ACGCUAUAGUCACAGACACGAUGAGAUGGUGAUAGUGUGAGGUGACAUUUCUCCACGACAUUUGCCAGGCAGGCACAAAGGUGAUGUAAAACUCACCAUAACUCUGUGAGUCACCGAUUGAAAUUGCACGAAUAAACUGCGGGGGGGCAUGUCCUGUUAGUCAACAGUAAAAACGAAUGGGAAGUGUGUGUGUGUGUGUGCGCCUCGAUUUCAUAUAGAGCACUGAGUUUGUUUAAGAAAUUAAGUCUGCUUCAAUCACUGCUUCCUUAACUUUAAAUGAAAAAUAGAAACUGCUCCUCAACUAUAUAUUUCUAUGCGUAUAAUGCAAUGCGUCAGUUUCUGUCCUCUGUGUUCCUCAGCAGUCACACUGUGCUGAUCCUGCAUGUAGUCUGGCUCCAGUCAAGCGCAGCGCUGUCCAAGGUGAGCCGCAUCAGACCAAGGUCGCCACCUAGCGGAGAUAUUGACGCCUGUUCUGCCUCCAAAAUUGGAUUAAAGAACAAGCAUGAGCAUGACCUCCCUAGCAUUACAAGGUCUUCUAUUGCUCCCAUGAGACGUGCCCAUUGCAGCGGCAGGCAGGCAACCUUUCAAUGAUCUGCAGGGGCGACUGUCACCAUGUGGGCAGUGGAAUGUGGCCUUUCACAGAUUACAGAGACAGUGAUUCAGCUGGAAAACAUGCACCCUCUUGAAGCGUCCUUGGGCAAGUCAUUGGAUCUCUAUCUGCUGAUCAUUUCUGACGGUGGGGAGUCAAAACAGAAUUCCAUCACAUGAAACAAAAAAGUAUCUCAAUGUUGUUAUUUCUGUUGGGUGAAAUCUACUAUCUUUAAAAUUUAAAUGAAGCCGCAUGCAUUUUGGAUUUCACUUAAUUUGGCUUCAAAAACCUGUUUGUGAUGGUGAGACAGUGCAGGCUAUAAGACGUUUUCCCCACUCUCAGCAGGUGUCUGAAUGCCCUUUUUCCUCUCAUCUCAAUACAGUGCCAUACAUAUAUGAAUGUGUCUUUGUGUGGCAAAUAUUGUUUGUAGCCUCUAGCAUCCACAUUUGGCAGAUCCCAAGUGCUCUAGUUCCCAUGCCUUUUUGUAGCCGUCACACCAACCUCAGGCUUCCAAGACUUGGCUACAAGUCUUGUACAAGUACUAAUAUAUUUAUUGCUGCCCAUACAAGGAAACAUCUAGGAGUUUUCUAAUAGGGGUGAUGUCACUGUGAAUAGACCUGCCUUUGUCUCAAAUACUUCUACAGACAUAGUGUGGCUUUGUUUUCCCCUCGCAGAUGCCACUCAAAGAAAGAGAGUAUAGUGUUUUUAUGUAUGAUUGGUCUGAGAGGGCAGCUACCAGUCCUAUGCAAUUGAAUGAGGCUGGUUUUGGAAUAGAGAGGUGUGUGUGGGUUUAUGAGGGUCUCCUGGGACGUGAUACUGCCUUUGUGGGGUUAUGGUCUCUCCUGUGGAAGUAUCUCGACCGGCGUAAUGAAGCAGACAAAGCACCUGGUGCUCUACCGAAAUUGGCCAAUUUACCCCCGAACAUUGAUUGUCCAAAACUACAUCCCCAGAUGAAGGGCACUUUCCCCUAUUUUCUCCCCUGACGACAAGCCUGGCAACCUUAAAAAGCCAGAGGGGGACCUUGAGGGCCGCUUUUAAUCUUUUCGACCAAUAGCAAAAAAGUUUCGUGGAGCAACGAUGAUGGGUCGUGAUGGUGGUCGGGACCGGGUGCGAGUGGGCGGGUUAUGUCUCUUGUCUUCCUUUAUUUGUGUCACAGUGUUUUUGAUUGAUUACACUCCCAUCGUUUCCUUUAUCUUCCUGUCAAAUCACUGGCUUUUUUGGGGGGGUAAGUGGCGGAGUGCCCCCCCCCCCCCCUCCCCAUCCCUUCCUCCACCAGCCCACUCCGCUUUCUCCAGAUGGCAUCUGCUGCCCACACAUCUGCAUUGUGUGCCAAUCAUGCACACCGACUCCAAAUCCUUUGUUUGAGCAGACACACACACACAAGCUCACUCAAAUAAACUCACACAAACUUGUGUUAUAGACCGAUUUGCUGCUAUUUGAGACUCCCAUCGCCUAUGAAAAAAACUAGAUAUCAGUCAAUUAUGUCCCACUUUAACAUAGUGGACGUUCUAAAUUCUUUGACUCAGGGUGUCAGUCUGUGAAAUCAUAUCUGAAACUGUUUAUUAAGAGCCUUUUUUCAACCUAAUUAGGAAUUAGGCUGCAAUAGUUUGUCUUUUAACUUCCUGUCUAUACCGGAAGUGAGGAUGUGUGGCACUGAGUAGGAUGACAAUAUAAUGCAUAGCGUUGAGGACUGCCAUAGCUGGAGGAAACUGAGAGGCUUUCUUCCACAGCAGCCUUAUAAACAUCAGUUGCUAUUAGCGGUUGCUAAUUUGAUCAGUUCUCCUGAUCAGAUAGUCAUGUUACUAGAGUUAAUAGUCAUGGUGACUGGUCAGAAUGUGUUAGUAGUUGUGUUUUUCUUCUGUGCAUAUAUUGUACUGUAUAUAAGCAUAUGAUAUCAUAACAGGGGUUGUUGGAAAACACAGUUUUGAAAACCAGAAUAGCCGAACACAGGCGCUGUGUUCGCACCCAGGACCAACAUAGCACAGUGGCAGUGCAUUUCAGGGAGGCAAAGAGUCUGCCCUGGCGUUGAGCAUGUUAGAAUCCCAAGAAGAGGAGGUGACAUUAACACCCUUCUUCUCCAAGAGUUUUCACACCUUUACACUUGACACCAAGAGGACUAAUUCAAGAAUAUGAAAUAAAACACUUAUUGUAAACUGAGAUUUUGUAAAUUCAGACAUAUUGUGGGGAUAACUUCUUGGUGAUUGCAAUAUUGUCUUGACAAUAACAUACAUGUGUGUUAGUGUAUGGCAGUAGAAAAAUAUGAUGAAUUUGAGUUUUUCUUUUUGAAUAUGUUUUAAUGCUUUUAACCAUGCGAAAUACUUCAUAUUUUGGAUUUAUUGAUAUACAUGCAUAUAUUUGAUGCAUUAUUGUAUCUGCACGUCCACAUUUUUUGGGAUUGAUGUAAUUGUGCACUUAAAGAAUUGUUAUUUGUUUUGAGAUGUUUAUCACCCUGGGCGGGUUGAAGGUUAACCACACCUGUCAUCAUAGAGUCUAUCAACCUACUGGUAUAUACUGUAUAUGUACGAUUUGGUUGAUUAUUUUAACUACCAGUGUUCUUCAACCUUAGAUCUCAUAGCUCCUCUUAAAAAUAGACAAAACUCAAAGACUA